rnacentral:rRNA from 1 species
AGAGUUUGAUCAUGGCUCAGAUUGAACGCUGGCGGCAUGCCUUACACAUGCAAGUCGAACGGCAGCACGGGAGCAAUCCUGGUGGCGAGUGGCGAACGGGUGAGUAAAGUAUCGGAACGUGCCCAGUCGUGGGGGAUAACGUAGCGAAAGCUACGCUAAUACCGCAUACGAUCUAUGGAUGAAAGCGGGGGAUCGCAAGACCUCGCGCGAUUGGAGCGGCCGAUAUCAGAUUAGGUAGUUGGUGGGGUAAAGGCCUACCAAGCCGACGAUCUGUAGCUGGUCUGAGAGGACGACCAGCCACACUGGGACUGAGACACGGCCCAGACUCCUACGGGAGGCAGCAGUGGGGAAUUUUGGACAAUGGGCGCAAGCCUGAUCCAGCAAUGCCGCGUGCAGGAUGAAGGCCUUCGGGUUGUAAACUGCUUUUGUACGGAGCGAAAAGGCUUCCACUAAUACUGGAGGCUCAUGACGGUACCGUAAGAAUAAGCACCGGCUGACUACGUGCCAGCAGCCGCGGUAAUACGUAGGGUGCAAGCGUUAAUCGGAAUUACUGGGCGUAAAGCGUGCGCAGGCGGUCUUGUAAGACAGGUGUGAAAUCCCCGGGCUUAACCUGGGAACUGCACUUGUGACUGCAAGGCUGGAGUACGGCAGAGGGGGAUGGAAUUCCGCGUGUAGCAGUGAAAUGCGUAGAUAUGCGGAGGAACACCGAUGGCGAAGGCAAUCCCCUGGGCCUGUACUGACGCUCAUGCA